rnacentral:rRNA from 1 species
AGUGAACGCUGGCGGUAGGCCUAACACAUGCAAGUCGAACGGCAGCACAGUAAGAGCUUGCUCUUACGGGUGGCGAGUGGCGGACGGGUGAGGAAUACAUCGGAAUCUACUUUUUCGUGGGGGAUAACGUAGGGAAACUUACGCUAAUACCGCAUACGACCUACGGGUGAAAGCAGGGGAUCUUCGGACCGGUCGCGAGGGUAGGAGCCGAUGUCGGAUUAGCGAGUUGGCGGGGUAAAGGCCCACCAAGGCGACGAUCCGUAGCUGGUCUGAGAGGAUGAUCAGCCACACUGGAACUGAGACACGGUCCAGACUCCUACGGGAGGCCGCCGUGGGGCCUCUUGGGCCUAGGGCGCCCGCCUGCUCCCGCCCUGCCGCGUGGGUGCCGCCGGCCUUCGGGUUGUAAAGCCCUUUUGUUGGGCCCGCCCCGCCGCCGGUUCCUCCCCCGCUGUUCUGCCGGUCCCCCCUGCGUCCGCCCCGGCUCCCUUCGUG